UACGUAGGGGCAAGCGUGUCCGGAUUUAUUGGGCGUAAAGAGCUCGUAGGCGGUUUGGUAAGUCAGGUGUGAAAUCUCCACGCUCAACGUGGAGGGCCACCUGAUACUGCCAUGACUGGAGUCCGGUAGAGGAGUGUGGAAUCCGGUGUAGCGGUGAAAUGCGUAGAGAUGUGGAGGAACACCGAUGGCGAAGGCAGCCUCCUGGGCCAGCACUGACGCUCAUGCACGAAAGCCGUGGGGAGCAAACAGG
rnacentral:rRNA from 1 species